AACGUGCAUCCCUUUAGAGGGU
rnacentral:miRNA from 1 species